CCAGACUCCUACGGGAGGCAGCAGUGGGGGAUAUUGCACAAUGGGGGAAACCCUGAUGCAGCGACGCCGCGUGGGUGAAGAAGCGCCUCGGCGCGUAAAGCCCUGUCAGCAGGGAAGAAAAUGACGGUACCUGAAGAAGAAGCCCCGGCUAACUACGUGCCAGCAGCCGCGGUAAUACGUAGGGGGCAAGCGUUAUCCGGAUUUACUGGGUGUAAAGGGGGCGCAGACGGCGAUGCAAGCCAGGAGUGAAAGCCCGGGGCUCAACCCCGGGUCUGCAUUGGAAACUGUCGAGCUAGAGUGUCGGAGGGGUAAGUGGAAUUCCUAGUGUAGCGGUGAAAUGCGUAGAUAUUAGGAGGAACGCCAGUGGCGAAGGCGGCUUACUGGACGAUGACUGACGCUGAGGCUCGAAAGCGUGGGGAGCAAACAGGAUUAGAUACCCCUGUA
rnacentral:rRNA from 1 species